UACGUAGGGUGCGAGCGUUGUCCGGAAUUACUGGGCGUAAAGGGCUCGUAGGUGGUUUGUCGCGUCGUCUGUGAAAUUCCGGGGCUUAACUCCGGGCGUGCAGGCGAUACGGGCAUAACUUGAGUACUGUAGGGGUAACUGGAAUUCCUGGUGUAGCGGUGAAAUGCGCAGAUAUCAGGAGGAACACCGAUGGCGAAGGCAGGUUACUGGGCAGUUACUGACGCUGAGGAGCGAAAGCAUGGGUGGCGAACAGGAUUAGAUAC
rnacentral:rRNA from 1 species